GGGGGAGGGGUGGCCAGGUGUUCCCCGCGCGCGCCCAGGGCUGAAGGUGGGGGUGUCGGGAGCACGGGCUAACGGCCCCGGGCUCGCACGUGGAGGCGCGAGUGCAAGCGCUCCCCAAAACCGGGGAAGGAUGGAAUACUGGGGCAGCCGCACACUGUUACCAUUCCAGGCUUGUGUGGGAGAAGACUGUUGUGUGCCUGUGUCUGUCCGGCCCGGCGGCUCCAGCCCCUGGUUAAUAAAAGCUGGCAACUCUACUCACAUUUUGAGGACCCUGCAGUUAUAGACAAAACCUCAAAUUUUAGGUCUCAAGGAAUGGCUAAUCAGGUGGGCUAGAUGCAUGUAACCACACCUCAGCCAAUCAUAACAACCAAGGAAGCAAGGUAUUAGAAUUGAUAACAGCUUCCAUUCAGAAUUCCCAUGUAAAAUGAUGGGAGGAAGAAUGUCAUCCAGAUGCAACCACCAGGGAAACUGCUGUGAGCUGGCAACCACACCAGAUUUUAUUUAGUGUGCUGCUAUGUGUUGGACACAUGUUAGUACCUUAUGUGCUUUACCUCAUUUAAAUUUUUCAAUGAGCUCAAUAGUCUCAGUUUUGAGCAGAUGGUGCCCAAAGAAGUUGUAUGCCCAUAAGUUAUGUUAAAUGGCAACACCUGGAUGUAUGGGGGUCUUAAAAGCCAGAAAAGGGAUUUACGUGGUAAGAAACAGACACAUUCAUUGUAAGUGAUGACUUUUGAGCCAGAUGAUAUCUGUAUUAUAAAACUGAUGUUUAUGAAGAGCCUGAAAUACACGGAAAAUUCAUAUAAUAAAUUGCCAAAGCAGCAAAGAUAACUUAAGAGGCCUAGAGGAUAGAAUUAGAAGACCCAGGAUACAUCUGAAAGAAUUUCUGAAGGAGAGAAGAUAGAGUUUGAAAGAGAGGCAAUAUCCAUGGGAUAAUGAGAGUCUGUCAUACUUGAAGAAAACUGAGUUAUCAGGUCAAAGGAAGGUGCUAAGGCUCAAGCAGAGUAAUUUUUUAAAAUUGAGACCUGUACAUAGUGGUGAAAUUACAGAGUACCAAAGCAGUAGGAAAAUGUUAAAAGUUAACCACUGAGAACAGUCAAAUUAUCCAAAAGGAAAGACAGUCAUCCUGUCAGAUUUAUAAGCAACAUUAAGUGACAGAAGACAAUGGAAAAUAUCUUCAAAGUAUUGAGAACCCAUAAGUGAGAAACUAGAAUUUUAUACCUAGCUAAGCCAUCUUUCAAGAGGAAGAACA